rnacentral:rRNA from 1 species
AUUGAACGCUGGCGGCAGGCCUAACACAUGCAAGUCGAGCGAGCGGCGGACGGGUGAGUAAUGUAUGGGGACUGCCCGAUAGAGGGGGAUAACUACUGGAAACGGUGGCUAAUACCGCAUACUAUCGGAUAACCCAUAUGGGAUUAGCUAGUAGGUGGGGUAAAGGCUCACCUAGGCGACGAUCUCUAGCUGGUCUGAGAGGAUGAUCAGGCACAACGGGACUGGGACACGGCCCUGACUCCUGCGGUGGCAGCAGCGGGGAAUAGUGCAAAAUGGGGACAAGCCUGAUGCAGCCAUGCCGCGUGUAUGAAGAAGGCCUUAGGGUUGUAAAGUACUUUCAGCGGGGAAGCGUUACCCGAAGAAGAAGCAACGGCUAACUCCGUACCAGCCGCCGCGGUAAUAC